AACGUAGGAGCCAAGCGUUAUCCGAAUUCACUGGGCGUAAAGCGCGUGCAGGCGGCUGGGUAAGUUGGAUGUGAAAUCUCCUGGCUCAACUGGGAGAGGCCGUUCAAUACUACCUGGCUUGAGGGCGACAGAGGGAGGUGGAAUUCCGGGUGUAGUGGUGAAAUGCGUAGAUAUCCGGAGGAACCCCAGAGGCGAAGGCGACCUCCUGGGUCGUACCUGACGCUGAGAUGCGAAAGCUAGGGGAGCAAACGGG
rnacentral:rRNA from 1 species